rnacentral:rRNA from 1 species
UACGAAGGGGGGCGAGCGUUGUCCGGAUUUAUUGGGCGUAAAGAGCGUGUAGGCGGCCACACAGGUCUGCUGUGAAAACUCGAGGCUCAACCUCGAGCUGUCGGUGGAAACCGUGUGGCUAGAGUCCGGAAGAGGAGGGUGGAAUUCCUGGUGUAGCGGUGAAAUGCGCAGAUAUCAGGAAGAACACCCGUGGCGAAGGCGGCUCUCUGGGACGAUACUGACGCUGAGACGCGAAAGCGUGGGGAGCGAACAGG